GAACGCGCCCUCCGACGGGCGUGGGCAGGGUUUGCUCGCUGAACCCCCAACAGCGCGCGCAGCAACACGCAAGAGCAACGGGCUUCACGGCACGCAGGCACGCCGAUGCCGCCGUCUGGAAAGGUGGGCUCAUCAGCAGCGCAGCAGGUGGUCGACAUGGACCCGCUUCUCGUGUACUUCACCUUCUCCCGCAUCCGGCCUCGCUUCUCUUGCGGGCGCACAAUCGAGAGCACGCUGAAGCAAUUUCGUGACGGCGAGCUGCACCCGCGCGACCUCCCCCUCCUCUCCGUGCUGACAGAUGGCGCACACUACUACAGUCAAAACAACCGACGGCUGUACGUGUACAAGCAGCUGAAGCGCGAAGGCUUGCUCGACAUGCUGCCGGUGCGGCUGCGCCCUCUGCCGCAGACGAAGCGGAUGCGUAGCAAGUACUCACCGCAGACCUGCGCUCUGAAUGCAACGCUUAUGCGAGACACAGCGAACAGGGAUGGCCUCAGAGACGCGAGUGCGACAGCGGCGGACAGCAGCGACGCGUCCGAUAUCGAGGGUAGUCACGACGACCAUGACGCCUGCACGUCCUUGGCUGCGGUUGGGGAGCCCGGCGCGGGUGACGACGAGUUCCGCCGCGGCAACCGCUCAGCUCCCUCGUCCAGCUCUCCGCCACGCCCGGCAUCCUGUGCGACGGGCUCCGGCCUUGAAAGGGAGGCGGUGGGGAGCGGAGACACACGCAAAGCCCCGACAAGGAGGAAUCAGAAGAAGCAGCCGCAGCCGCAGCACGGCCUCGCUCUGUCACAGCAGUCGUCGAACGCCAACUGCAGCGAAACGGCGUCACAGCGUCCAGGAAAAAGCAAGGGUGCCGCCGCAGCUCGAUCGCCGAGUACCAGUAGCAGCGACGGCGGUGGUAACGGUGGCACGAGUGCCUUGGAAGCAGAGCUGCGCAAACUUGGCCUGCACACGUAAUCAAGUGGGCCCGUCUUCCUUCCCCGCCCCUUUUCAUCCACCCCUCUCUCUCAUGCGAGCGUGAAUGUAUGGGUUGUUGUUCUGUGGAUUACCGCCGCAGUUACGUGGCGCUGUUCUUGUCUUUUGGCUUUUCCCUUGUUUUCAUCUGCGCUCGCACAUGGCACACCUUUCACACGUCAACAGAUAACAGGGGGCUCUCGCUGUCCUUCUCCUUUUCGGGUCUUCGUUGGAAAACGGACGUGGAGAGGCGCAGAAAGGCCGCGCAGCUUGCUACAUCCGCAAAGGCGGUGCGGAACUUCCUGUGAGGCGGAGCUAACAUCUUCGUGUUGACCUUCUAGUUGACACUGCUCGACGAGUGGGCGUGAGAGAGGGGGGAAAGAGGGGGCAUCGCUCCAUCGAGCUCAACCGUCACGCACGUGAGUCGGCGUUGUCUUGAGGUGAGGAGUACGGAC
rnacentral:misc_RNA from 1 species